CGAACGCUGGCGGCGUGCUUAACACAUGCAAGUCGAACGGAAAGGCCCUGCUUUUGUGGGGUGCUCGAGUGGCGAACGGGUGAGUAACACGUGAGUAACCUGCCCUUGACUUUGGGAUAACUUCAGGAAACUGGGGCUAAUACCGGAUAGGAGCUCCUGCUGCAUGGUGGGGGUUGGAAAGUUUCGGCGGUUGGGGAUGGACUCGCGGCUUAUCAGCUUGUUGGUGGGGUAGUGGCUUACCAAGGCUUUGACGGGUAGCCGGCCUGAGAGGGUGACCGGCCACAUUGGGACUGCGGUACGGCCCAGACUCCUACGGGAGGCAGCAGUGGGGAAUAUUGCACAAUGGGCGGAAGCCUGAUGCAGCAACGCCGCGUGCGGGAUGACGGCCUUCGGGUUGUAAACCGCUUUCGCCUGUGACGAAGCGUGAGUGACGGUAAUGGGUAAAGAAGCACCGGCUAACUACGUG
rnacentral:rRNA from 1 species